UGACCCACCCAGCCGGGAAUA
rnacentral:miRNA from 1 species